rnacentral:rRNA from 1 species
AUUGAACGCUGGCGGCAGGCCUAACACAUGCAAGUCGAACGAGUGGCGGACGGGUGAGUAAUGUCUGGGAAAAUGCCUGAUGGAGGGGGAUAACUACUGGAAACGGUAGCUAAUACCGCAUACCAUCGGAUGUGCCCAGAUGGGAGUAGCUAGUAGGUGGGGUAAAGGCUCACCUAGGCGACGAUCCCUAGCUGGUCUGAGAGGAUGACAAGCCACACUGGAACUGAGACACGGUCCAGAAUCCUACGUGAGGCAGCAGUGGGGACGAUUGCACAAUGGGCGCAAGCCUGAUGCAGCCAGGCCGCGUGUAUGAAGAAGGCCGUCGGGUUGUAAAGUACUUUCAGCGGGGAGGCGUUACCCGCAGAAGAAGCACCGGCUAACUACGUGCCAGCAGCCGCGGUAAUAC